rnacentral:lncRNA from 1 species
AGAGUUGUUGCCAAAUUCAGGUUGAUGAGAUGAAUGUGGGCAUCAACCGACCUCAGCAGCAGCUCCAGGAAUAGCCUUCACCUGGGUGUGUCGUGUGCAGCACCACCACCACUAGUAGCAGCAGCUCUAGGAUAAGGCCUAGAUGUGGAGUGGAGGAGUGCAGUGUGCAGCACCACCAGUAGUAGCAGCAGCUCGGGAGAGGAGGAUCGCCUGGGCCUAGAAGUGGAGGCGCUUGGACCUGGGUGCAGUCUUGGAGGUGGAGGCGCCAGGAUCUGGGUAGAGGUGGAUGUGGAGGUUGAGGACAGGGCCGACGGUGGAGGUCGAGGGCGAGGCCGGAUGUGCCAUAUAUUAUGUAGUAAUGCCAAAUAUUAUGACAUGGAUGUGUUAUAUAUAUAAUGGGAUAUGGAUUAUGUUAUAUGAUGUAUGAAUGUGCUAUGAAUUAUGUUAUAUGUUGUAUGUAUGUGUUAUGUUGGGUGCUAUAUGCUAUAUGUAUGUGUUAUGGUUUGUGAUAUAUGUGUGGAUUUUGGAUGUGUUAUGGUGUGUGCUAUAUUGUGUAUUUAUGCUAUUAUAUUAUCUAUUUCUGCUGC